rnacentral:rRNA from 1 species
GAUGAACGCUGGCGGCGUGCCUAAUACAUGCAAGUCGAGCGAACGGACGAGAAGCUUGCUUCUCUGAUGUUAGCGGCGGACGGGUGAGUAACACGUGGAUAACCUACCUAUAAGACUGGGAUAACUCCGGGAAACCGGAGCUAAUACCGGAUGAUAUUUUGAACCGCAUGGUUCAAAAGUGAAAGACGGUCUUGCUGUCACUUAUAGAUGGAUCCGCGCUGCAUUAGCUAGUUGGUAAGGUAACGGCUUACCAAGGCAACGAUGCAUAGCCGACCUGAGAGGGUGAUCGGCCACACUGGAACUGAGACACGGUCCAGACUCCUACGGGAGGCAGCAGUAGGGAAUCUUCCGCAAUGGGCGAAAGCCUGACGGAGCAACGCCGCGUGAGUGAUGAAGGUCUUCGGAUCGUAAAACUCUGUUAUUAGGGAAGAACAUAUGUGUAAGUAACUGUGCACAUCUUGACGGUACCUAAUCAGAAAGCCACGGCUAACUACGUG